AGCUAUUCCAGGCAAAAGCAGCUGGGAUAGGCCUGCUUGGAGGUGGGGUGCUGGAGACAGGGGUGCCCAGCCUGUUCACAAUAAGAAGUAACCACGGUAAAGAUACAAAUAGUGUCCUGGGACAGAAGCCAAGCCACCUUGUUAUCUACUUUACCAGCUAAGCCCAGAGAGGGUGGAGCAGGCUCAAGGUCGGCUGCGGAGAUCCUGGCCUCAGCUUCCCAGCAGAGGGCUCUUCUGCAGAAAGUGAUCCCAGGAUAGGGGGCUGCCAUGGGAGUCAGGGAUUUGCACCCCAAAUUUCAGGUGGUAUCUGAGCUCUGUGUGUCCUUCCUACCCACCUCUCAGGUGCUACUUACAUCUGAUAAACUCAAGUGGUGGACAGAACAGAGAGGGCCUCCUCCAAGGUGACUUGCUAAGUCCUCCCCUAACGACGAAAUAGAGAAGCUUCCUGCCCCUGUUACACAUGGCCUCCUCCCGGGCCCAGCAGCUCACCUGGACCACGGAAAGCACAGAAAGAACUGGCUGAAUGAAUCAAGAGAUCAAGUGUUCUCCCUGAGGCCCUGUAACAGCUCUGCAGCUGACUGCCCAGAAGGAAGCAGAAGUGAGUGACAAGUUGGGGGAACCAGAGCUUGCACACCAUAGGCCUGAACACUAGCCUCUGGGGAAAGGCAAGUCCAGCUGACCUUGGUGAAGUUAGGACCCGGGCCGAGGCCACCUCUUCUGGUUCACCCUCUGCUGGCCUCCCAGCUUCUUUGGCUCAGCAACACCCAGGAUUCCAGGCAUGUUUGCCUCUGGCCUUCUAAAAAUACCCAGGCCACCCAGCACCUCCCAGAUGUCUGAGCGCUGAGUCUGUGAUUUCCCUGCCGGUAAUGGGACAGCCCCGGGGUGGGCAGGCGGGGGUGGCUCGAGCAGCUCAAGCCACUUCCUCUGCCUCCCAUCCCCUAGCCUACCAGAAGCUGGACCCAGCCCUGCCUCCCAAUCCUUGCAAGGCAAAGGAGGGUAGAGGCUAGCAGACCUCAGAGAUUGUUGACUCCAGUCUCUUCUUGGGACAGAUGGGAGAUCUGAAGUCUAAGGAUUGCUCAUGGCACUUGUGCCAUUAAGGUCCUCCUCACCCCACUCCCCAGCACUGUGUUCAUGCCUGCUGCUGUCUCACUUCCCACAUGCUACUUGGAGUCUAGGUCUUGGAGCCCAACCUGACUUCCUCCAUGCAGCUGAAAGCUCCUGACAGCAGUGAAGGGGAGGAUCCCUGUGGUCUCCAUGGUGCCUGGAAGAGUGUCCAAUCCAGAGCACACCAUCAGUAAACGUAGAUUGGAUUGAACAAUGUAGUGGCAGCUGGGGCAAUGGGUGGAGCACUGGGCUGGAGGACAAAGCCUCUGAAUUCUAUCUAGCCCAGGGUCAGCCACUGUGAUACUAUGCAUCCUCAUCAAUUGCCCUGGACAAACCUGUUUCUCCUGGGCUGGAUAGGAUGGUGUCUAAGGACUGAGCCAGCUCUGCUGAUAUGAAGCUGCAAGCUGAUGCCCUGCUGGAUAUUCCUGUCCCUUCUCUGCUCUACUGUAUGUCUGGGAGAGAUGGCACAACCUGUAGGUUCCAUCAGCUCCAGGUUCUCAGCUUCUGCUCCUCCCUCCGUGCUUCUGAACAUUCCACCUCUGGUCCUAGCCCCUGAGGCCCAGCUCUUCCAAUAGUGCCACUUCCACCUCUGCUGCUGGGUACACAGGGGUGAAUGCAUACCUACCUCGCUCACUAAUCAUGUGACCUUGGGUAAGGCAUUGCCCUUUUCUGGGCUUCAGUUUUAUCAUAUCUAAAAGGGAAUAAUAAGGCCUACCUUAAAGGAGUGCUAUGAGGAUGUAGGAGAUUCCAUAGCUCAGAUGUCAGGUUAUAUAUCACCUCCUGCAGAAAGUCUCCCCUGUCCUCCCAAGGAUGGCUCAGAUAGCAUUUGUUGCUGGCUCUUCAGUUCUGACCUUCCCAUGUUCACACUAUGUGGUCAUUGGCUCUCUAUGCAUCCAUCCCCCACCAAGCUGUGGGCUCCUCAAGGCCAGGAGUCUCCAGGACCCAGUACAGGACCUUUACAGAUGAAGUGCCUGGGAACGUUUUUUGACAGACACAGUGGGUGAGUAAAGCCUGAGAGAAAGGCAAGGGGUUGUGCAGAAGUCUGGGAGUCUGAGUAAGAAGUGGCCUGACUGACAGGGCAAGUUCUGGUGGUAUGAAUAUUGACAGCUGCUUGGAGCCCUUCCCCCAUUUCCCUGCUUGGUAAAUUCAUCCUUCAAGAUCCCAGGAGAGCAUCUCCUUCCCUGAGAAACCUGAUCACUCUCCCCUCUACCACAUUACACACUCCACUGUAGGUGUUCUUUACACACCUGUCUCCCUUCUCAGAUGUGAGUUCCCUGAAGGCAAGACCCUGUUGGAUCUCACAGCACCAAGCACUAGAUCUGGCAUGAGUUAGUCAAGGUUUUGGAGCAGAAGAAUGGAUGGAGGAAAUAAUUUCUGAAUCGAACUUGGAAUUGAACUGCCUGAACUUUAAUGCCCUUUCCAGCCUUAGGGAUGAUAAUGAAUUACCAAAGUGAGAAAAAUGGAGGCGCAAGCUGUUGUCAUCCUUCCAGAGGCACCCUCCAAGUGUGUGUGGGUGAAAUGUGAGCUGGAGAGAGGAUUGACAAAGAGCAGUGAAAACAUAUUCCUGGACCCCAUUCUUUUUUUUUUUUUUUUUUUUUUUGAG
rnacentral:lncRNA from 1 species